ACAUGUGGGACACGGAUGAGAUCAUCAGCGCUCAACCCAUCAGGCAUCCUGACUCAGAUGCAGUAGGACAAGGUGGAGGAGAUGCCGCUGUCCCGUCGGUCUGGGGACAGCCCAGCUCCCCGGAUCCCGGGCUGGAGAGACGCGUCGCGGCCCCGGGGCCUGGUGGCACGAGCAGGAAGGAGGACCCGGCGGCGGGCUCUGCCUGGGCUUGCCUGGGCUUGUUCCGAGCCGGGCUGCUUCUCGGUGACCACGCAGAUCGGGGGCAUUUGGAGAUUUUGCGGGAGUCCUGCAGCCAAGCUCCGGGGCAGGAGAGGCCUGGAAGCCUGCACUACCUGCUCGCCCCGUCCCAGCAUGCACCCAGGUAAACGCUUGUGUUUCUCAGUCCGUGCGAAAGUUUGCAAAGAAGGAGGCGGGAACUAGACCAACAACUUUAAUAAUCAUAGUCAUAAUAAUGAAAACCCUGUUCAAUUGUGUAGCCUCCGUAAGGGGAAGAAUUUCCAAGAAGCAACAAAAUGUUCUUUGAUUUCAU
rnacentral:lncRNA from 1 species